rnacentral:rRNA from 1 species
GACGUAGGGGGGCAAGCGUUUGUUCGGGAAUUAUUUGGGGCGUAAAAGCGCUCGUAGGCGGGGACUGUAAGUCCGUGUUUGAAAGACCUCGGCUCAACUGAGGGACCGGCGCGGAUACUAUAGUUCUUGAGGCAAUCAGAGGGUGAUGGAAUUCCCCGGUGUAGCGGUGAAAUGCGUAGAUAUCGGGAGGAACACCGGUGGCGAAGGCGGUUCUCUGGGGCCUGUACUGACGCUGAGGAGCGAAAGCGCGGGGGGCGAACGGG